rnacentral:rRNA from 1 species
AGAGUUUGAUCCUGGCUCAGGAUGAACGCUGGCGGCGUGCCUAACACAUGCAAGUCGAACGGAGUAUUAUGAGGUCUUCGGACCGAGUAAUACUUAGUGGCGGACGGGUGAGUAACGCGUGGGUAACCUGCCUCAUACAGGGGGAUAACAGUUGGAAACGGCUGCUAAAACCGCAUAAGCAUACGCUGUCGCAUGGCAGA